UACGUAGGUGGCAAGCGUUGUCCGGAUUUACUGGGCGUAAAGAGCGCGCAGGCGGUCGUUCAAGUCGCGUGUGAAAGCCCCCGGCUCAACUGGGGAGGGUCACGCGAUACUGGUCGACUCGAAGGCAGGAGAGGGUAGUGGAAUUCCCGGUGUAGUGGUGAAAUGCGUAGAUAUCGGGAGGAACACCAGUGGCGAAGGCGACUACCUGGUCUGUUCUUGACGCUGAGGCGCGAAAGCUAGGGGAGCAAACGGG
rnacentral:rRNA from 1 species